rnacentral:misc_RNA from 1 species
GAUGAAGAACGCAGCGAAAUGCGAUACGUAAUGUGAAUUGCAGAAUUCAGUGAAUCAUCGAAUCUUUGAACGCACAUUGCGCCUGCCAGCACUCUGGCAGGCAUGCCUGUUCGGGCGUCAUUUCAACCAUCAAGCCCUAGGCUUGCGUUGGAGCCCUGCGGCUGCCGCAGGCCCCUAAAAGCAGUGGCGGGCUCGCUAUCACACCGAGUGCAGUAGAUUACUCUUCGCUCAGGGCGUGUGGCGGGUUCCAGCCGUGAAACCCCCUACUUCUCAAGGUUGACCUCGGAUCAGGUAGGAAUACCCGCUGAACUUAAGCAUAUCAAUAAGCGGAGGA